UACGUACCGUACGAACGUUAUUCGGAAUUACUGGGCUUAAAGGGUUUGUAGGCGGCCUUGUAAGUCAGGUGUGAAAUCCCUCGGCUCAACCGAGGAAUAGCGCUUGAUACUGCAAGGCUUGAGGGAGACAGGGGUAAGCGGAACUGAUGGUGGAGCGGUGAAAUGCGUUGAUAUCAUCAGGAACACCGGUGGCGAAAGCGGCUUACUGGGCCUCUUCUGACGCUGAGGAACGAAAGCUAGGGUAGCGAACGGG
rnacentral:rRNA from 1 species